UUACGGCCAUAUCAUGUUGAAACACCGGUUCACGUACGACCACCGAAAAUAAGCAAUGUCGAACCUGGUCAGUAUCUAGAUGGGCGACUGCUUUGGAAUUCCAAGUGCUGUU